GACGAACGCUGGCGGCGUGCUUAACACAUGCAAGUCGAACGGAAAGGCCCUGCUUUUGUGGGGUGCUCGAGUGGCGAACGGGUGAGUUACACGUGAGUAACCUGCCCUUGACUUUGGGAUAACUUCAGGCAACUGGGUCUAAUACCGCCUAGGAGCUCCUGCUGCUUGGUGGGCGUGGGAAAGUUUCGGCGGUUGGGGAUGUGCUCGCGGCUUAUCAGCUUGUUGGUGGGGUAGUGGCUGACGAAGGCUUUGACGGGUAGCCGGCCUGAGAGGGUGUCCGGGAACAUUGGGACUGAGACAGGGACAAGACUCAUACGGGAGCCAGCAGUGGGAAAUAGUACACAAUGGGAGGAAGCGUGAGGCAGAACCACCGCGUGCGGGAUGAUGGCCUAGGGGUUGUAAACGGCUUUCGCCUGUGACGAAGCGUGUGUGACGAUAAUGGGUAAAGAAGCACCGGCUAACUACGUG
rnacentral:rRNA from 1 species